UACGUAGGGUGCAAGCGUUGUCCGGAAUUAUUGGGCGUAAAGCGCUCGUCGGCGGUUUGUUGCGUCGGCUGUGAAAUCCCGAGGCUCAACCUCGGGUCUGCAGUCGAUACGAGCAAACUAGAGUGUUGCAGGGGAGACUGGAAUUCCUGGUGUAGCGGUGAAAUGCGCAGAUAUCAGGAGGAACACCGGUGGCGAAGGCGGGUCUCUGGGCAACAACUGACGCUGAGGAGCGAAAGCGUGGGGAGCGAACAGG
rnacentral:rRNA from 1 species